rnacentral:rRNA from 1 species
UACGUAGGGGGCAAGCGUUGUCCGGAUUUAUUGGGCGUAAAGAGCGUGUAGGCGGCUUGGUAGGUCUCGCGUCAAAACCUGAGGCUCAACCUCAGUUCGCGUGGGAAACCACCUAGCUAGAGUCCGGAAGAGGAGAACGGAAUUCCCAGUGUAGCGGUGAAAUGCGCAGAUAUUCGGAGGAACACCAGAAGCGAAGGCGGCCAACUGGCCCGAUACUGACGCUGAGGCGCGAAAGCGUGGGGAGCGAACAGG